ACGCGUCGAGCCUGCGCUGGCACACCUC
rnacentral:sRNA from 1 species